GCGGGCGCGGCGCUGGCAAAGCGCAAAGCCGCAACCCGAGCCAAGUCGUGCCCUCCGGCGGCUUCUCCGCGCAUCCCCCGCGCUGCCCUGCGGAGGCAGAGGUCGCACGUUCGAAUCGUGCCGGGCGCA
rnacentral:tRNA from 1 species